rnacentral:rRNA from 1 species
GACUACCGGGGUAUCUAAUCCUGUUUGAUCCCCACACUUUCGUGCCUCAGCGUCAAUCUUGGCUUUGUGAGCUGCCUUCGCAAUCGAUAUUCUGUGUGAUAUCUAAGCAUUUCACCGCUACACCACACAUUCCACCCACAGCAACCAAAUCCUAGCCCUACAGUAUCAACGGCACUGUUACAGUUAAGCUGCAAAAUUUCACCGCUGACUUAUAAGGCCGCCUACGCACCCUUUAAACCCAAUAAAUCCGGAUAACGCUCGCAUCCUCCGUAUUACCGCGGCUGCUGGCACGGAGUUAGCCGAUGCUUAUUCAUAUGGUACUCUCAUCGGUCUACGCGUAGACCUUAUUGCUCCCAUAUAAAAGCAGUUUACAACCCAUAGGGCCGUCUUCCUGCACGCGGCAUGGCUGGAUCAGAUUUCCAUCCAUUGUCCAAUAUUCCUCACUGCAGCCCCCCGUAGG